UGGGGAAUAUUGGACAAUGGGCGAAAGCCUGAUCCAGCAAUGCCGCGUGAGUGAUGAAGGCCUUAGGGUCGUAAAGCUCUUUUACCCGGGAUGAUAAUGACAGUACCGGGAGAAUAAGCUCCGGCUAACUCCGUGCCAGCAGCCGCGGUAAUACGGAGGGAGCUAGCGUUGUUCGGAAUUACUGGGCGUAAAGCGUACGUAGGCGGUUAUUCAAGUCAGAGGUGAAAGCCCGGGGCUCAACCCCGGAACUGCCUUUGAGACUAGAUAGCUAGAAUCUUGGAGAGGUCAGUGGAAUUCCGAGUGUAGAGGUGAAAUUCGUAGAUAUUCGGAAGAACACCAGUGGCGAAGGCGACUGACUGGACAAGUAUUGACGCUGAGGUACGAAAGCGUGGGGAGCAAACAGGAUUAGAUACCCCCGUAGUCCCUGAGCGGGCUGGCAAGGCGCAU
rnacentral:rRNA from 1 species